UAAUAAAAGUGAAAUAUAUAUAUGGCACUUUUAAAACAAUCCAUAUCCACCUUGUGUGCAAUGUUUUCUUAUAUUAUCAUCAACUCUUUGUAAUUAUUUUUUGUCUGAAGUAUUUUAUGAAUUACUUAAUUCAAAAAUA
rnacentral:misc_RNA from 1 species